ACCAAUGAGACAAUAAUUACAAAUAAGAUCAAUUUUAUGUAGGUGUAACAAGAUCCAAUGAACAUGAUCUUAAUAAUGGGGUUAUGAAGAUAAAAACAAUGUCUUAAGUAUAAGACAAUUAAAACACCAAAGUUGGUCUCCUCCUCAAAUGUCUAUUUUGAAUGCAAUAUAUCAAUUGUCUUCGAAUAAAUCCUAGACGGGCUUCUCCAAGGUUUUUGAAAGGGGUGUUUUGGCUUGAAGUAUGACAUCUUACUUUGAGAUGAGUAGGUUACGGAAGAGAGUGAGGAGUGAGGGUCAGUUUGAAGAACUUUGAAUAAUUUUAAUUUGGGGCUUUCAAUAUACUUAUUUACAAAAUAUAUUUUCUAGAUUGGUUUUCCAAUUAAAGAUUUUACGAGUUUCUUUUUUAUGAAGAUGAUGAUGAAUGGGACACCUCUCAAUACAAACUCUUAUGCAAAUAUGACAUUUCUUCAUUACAGUUUUGAUUCAAGUAGAAUAGAUUG
rnacentral:lncRNA from 1 species